rnacentral:lncRNA from 13 species
GGAACACACACAUUCUGACUAUAGAACCGAUACUCCUAAAUGAUGGAACUUAUAAAUACCUAGGAUCACAAUUGUUUUUGUUCAAACAAGGCAGGCUCUGGGUUUAGAAGAGUUAAAAGAGAAUGUGACCAGUGUUCCUUUUCAGGGUUCUAACAGUAUUAUGGGCUGCCUCAGCAUAGAGUAAACUGAACAUCACAGAGGAGAAUCGAGCCAGUGUUGAAUGUCUGCUGAGGAAAGAUGCCUCUGAUCCAGGUGAAUCAGGCAAUAAACAACACCCAAAGAGCAAAGCUUUUACUUGAGUCCCAGCUGGUACAGUGGUGUGACCUGCGAUUAUUGUAGGGUAUGGAGAUCCUAUAAAAGUGAUAAAUCUUUGCUUGAAAGCCGCUGACCACACAGACACCUAGCAGGAUUCUGGGAACUCAGAAUAUUUGAGCAGGAAAGGAUCUGACUAUCAACUGAAAGACAUUUUCAUUUUGACACAUGAGGAAACCAGAGAGAGCAAUUCCUUGCCAGGUGACCUCUCCAUUAAGACAACUCACAACAUGGCAGCUUGCUUCAUCAGAACAUGAAAACAACAAGAGCCCAAGAAAGAG